GCAUACCACACUCACCCUGGAAUGGAGGGUGUGCCAAACGCUCCGGCGCCGAAGGAUGUGGCUGCGGCCGAUUAGGUAGACGGUGGGGUAACGGCCCACCGUGCCGAUAAUCGGUACGGGUCAUGAGAGUGAGAACCCGGAGACGGAAUCUGAGACAAGAUUCCGGGCCCUACGGGGCGCAGCAGGCGCGAAACCUUUACACUGCACGCCAGUGCGAUAAGGGGAUCCCAAGUGCGUAGGCAUAGAGCCUACGCUUUUCUGCACCGUAGGGAGGUUCAGGAACAAGGGCUGGGCAAGACCGGUGCCAGCCGCCGCGGUAAUACCGGCAGCACGAGUGAUGGCCGCUCUUAUUGGGCCUAAAGCGUCCGUAGCUGGCCGCGCAAGUCUAUCGGGAAAUCCGCACGCCUAACGUGCGGGCGUCCGGUGGAAACUGUGUGGCUUGGGACCGGAAGAUCCAGAGGGUACGUCCGGGGUAGGAGUGAAAUCCCGUAAUCCUGGACGGACCACCGGUGGCGAAAGCGCUCUGGAAAGACGGAUCCGACGGUGAGGGACGAAAGCUCGGGUCACGAACCGGAUUAGAUACCCGGGUAGUCCGAGCUGUAAACGAUGUCUGCUAGGUGUGCCACAGGCUACGAGCCUGUGGUGUGCCGUAGGGAAGCCGUGAAGCAGACCGCCUGGGAAGUACGUCCGCAAGGAGUAA
rnacentral:rRNA from 1 species